rnacentral:lncRNA from 1 species
CAUCCCAUUCAGAAGGAUCCUCUGGAGUGGAAGACUUCUCAAAGAGAAAAUAGCGGCUCCUCUGGGCGGGCGGUUGCGGCAUUGUGGGACGUGGGCUAUGCUCGGGGACUCCUCGAAGGCCCUGUGCUCCUGCCCUGUCCGUCACUGCCGUGCACCAACACUGAGCGUCCGAGCCAUGGCUGUGCUCUUAUAAGGUGGAGCCCUGGGGUGUCACGAAGUGACGUCACAAUGGGUGCCCACCCAGCCCAGGCACGUGCCACAGUGGCACCCAUUGUGACGUCACUUGGUGACACGCCAGGGCUCCGCCUUAUAAGAGCGCAGCCGUGGCUCGGACCCUCAGUGUCGGUGCACGGCAGCGACGGAUAUGGAAGGAGCACAGGAGCCUCAAGGAGACCCUGAGCGCAGUCCAAGUCCCACAAUGCCGCAACCACCCACCCAGACGAGCCGCCCUUUUAACCUUGCGAGCUCUCCCACUUCAGAGGCUGCUUCUGAAUGGGAUGAGGAGGGAGGCAUGCCCCCCAGGCAGCCCAGGCUGGCCUGGCAGGAGACCUGGUCUUCUAGGGGCAGCAACCAGCCAGCAGAGGACAGCUUGCUGGCAGAGGACAAAACCCCAGUCAAGGCCAUUUUGCCGGUAGAGGACAGCAGCCUGGCAGAGGCCAUUUCUCAGGAAGUGGGCAGCAGCCCGGCACAGGACAGGAGACCGGUAGAGGACAGCUUAGUGGUUGAGGACAGCGGUUCGACACAGGAUAGCAAGAAGAAGUCGCAGCUGCUGGAUUCCAGUAAUAUAUGGAAACUGCGCAGAAACUCGGCUGUGCAAUCUAUCAGGGCAUAUGUCAGACGGAAAGAAAAGGGCAACGAGGAGCAGAAGAUAGUUUUCCUCAUCGAAAUCUGCGAUCUGUGCAGAUGUGUCACCGAGAAGGGUGUGCCGAUGAACUUGCAUGGCUUCUGCAGCAAACAUAAGCUGGUGGAGCACAUCAUGGCGCUGAUGGAAAAGGAGCCCGUGGACAGCUUGCGCACAGAAUUCUGGCAGAUCGCCAUGGAGACUGUCGCCCUCCUCAGG